rnacentral:lncRNA from 1 species
CUCCCUUCUCUGCCUCCUUCCCUCCCUCCUUCCCUCCCUCUCUCCUCUCUAGCUUUCUCUCUUUCUCCCUUUCUUUCUUUCUCUAUUGCAGGCAGCAUAUAUUCCGGUUUUGUUCUGUUUUUUCUCUCUCCUUCUUUGAGGAUGAGGACACAGCCACUGCCCUCUGUCAAUUACUGCCAUCUCUUCAGUGACAAGCCUGAAAGAAUUUUCCAGAUGCAUGGCAGAGAAAAAAACAGUCCUCUAACACAGGGGUGGUGCUUCUGGUUGUCGGAACUUAGGACCAGAAAGGGAGGAAACCACUGUAUGGAAAGAAGGACCUGAGAAAUGCGUUGUAUUGAAAAAAAAAAAUUGUCACUGUGUCUGUUCUUAUAAUGAGCAAAUGUAAGGUUGUUGCUGUUUGUGUUUUUGGAUCAUUUAAAGUGGGUCUUUAUAAAAGCCAAGAAGAAGUUUGAUUUUUUUCCUACCUUGCUCUGCUUCUGUAUCUUGUUUUUGGAUAAAUCUUCCAAUAGCUUCCCACCUGAACCUGAUCCUAAUUCCAGAAACACAAAGCCUGGAUUCUUUGUGUUCCCCACGCUUAUUCUGUCUUUCCAUGAGCUCAGUUGGUAAAUCCCACAGUGAAGCAAGCAUAAACACAAACUAGGCGGGAUUAGACCACACUAUUCAGUUAAUCUUAGUUUACAAAACCCCUUCUUUCUUUGUCUGACAGGCUGCCACAGAAAUUCAGCAAAUGCAAUUUGCAGACUAAAUGUGAGAACUUUCUGCACUAUGGGUAGGAAAUAUCUACUCGCUGUCAUAAGCUCUCUCUCUUCGAGAAACCUCAGGGAUAUUUCCCAAGGUGAAGGAUGUCUACAGUGAGUUCUUUGAAUCAUCAUCAUGAUGGAAAAGAGCACACUGUGUUUCCUUCCAAAAUUUAAGCUGCACAACCUCCAAGAAUCUUGACAUGUGUAAAUAAGACUACCAAGAAAGGGGCCUCACACCAGUGUCCACCCUCCAACUCAGCCCCUUCUCCCCAUGUUUAAAGAAUUUGUAUCUCUGGAUCCAGUGACAAUAAUACUGGGAGGACUUUAACCAAAGUACUUUGAGUUCUAGGAGGAGGAACAAAGGAUGGUUUUCUAUAGCAUGUUCAUAUAACUGAACAUCCAUUAAAUAAUUGGUGUGCAGCUGGGAAUAAAAAUGGCUUAAGAGAGAAAAGUUCCUAUAAC